rnacentral:rRNA from 1 species
GUGAACGAGCGACGCCGCGUGGAGGAUGAAGGCCUUCGGGUUGUAAACUCCUGUCGAGGGGGAACAAGGUGCCGUGCAGAGCGGUGCUUGAGUGAUCCCUGGAGGAAGCACGGGCUAAGUUCGUGCCAGCAGCCGCGGUAAGACGAACCGUGCUAACGUUAUUCGGAAUCACUGGGCUUAAAGCGCGUGUAGGCGGGCCGGCACGUCGACUGCUGAAAGCCCCCGGCUCAACCGGGGAACGGGCAUCGAUACGACCGGCCUGGAGGGGGGUAGGGGGAGCCGGAACUCACGGUGGAGCGGUGAAAUGCGUUGAGAUCGUGAGGAACGCCCGUGGCGAAAGCGGGCUCCUGGACCCCACCUGACGCUGAGACGCGAAAGCCAGGGGAGCGAACGGGAUUAGAUACCCCGGUAGUCCUGGCCGUAAACCAU